GAUGAACGCUGGCGGCGUGCCUAAUACAUGCAAGUCGAGCGAACAGAUGAGGUGCUUGCUCUUCUGACGUUAGCGGCGGACGGGUGAGUAACACGUGGAUAACCUACCUAUCAGACGGGGAUAACUUCGGGAAACCGGAGCUAAUACCGGAUAAUAUAUUGAACCGCAUGGUUCGAUAGUGAAAGACGGUUUUAGCGUCAGUUAUAGGAUGACCCGGGCGGCCUUAAUUAGUUGGUAAGGUAACGGCUUACCAAGGCAACGAUGCUUAGCCGACCUGAGAGGGUGAUCGGCCACACUGGAACUGGGACCCGGUCCAGAUCCCUACGGGAGGCAGCAGUAGGGAAUCUUCCGCAAUGGGCGAAAGCCUGACGGAGCAACGCCGCGUGAGUGAUGAAGGUCUUCGGAUCGUAAAACUCUGUUAUUAGGGAAGAACAAAUGUGUAAGUAACGAUGCACGUCUUGACGGUACCAAAUCAGAAAGCCACGGCUAACUACGU
rnacentral:rRNA from 1 species